UGUCAGAAAUUUAUUUGGAAUAAGAGUUUUUCAUUAACAAAAAUUUCUUUCAUAUCCAAAUUCGAUAUUGUGGGAGACCCUAAUAUAAUUAUAAUUAAUAUAAUAGGGUUAGGGUCUUUCACUGGAAAAUGGUAAAAAAAAAAGGAGAAAAUGGGAUAAGCCGGAUUUAUAGCGACUAUCCAAGAAUUUCAAUGUUUGAAUCGAGGGUUCCCUCGGGGAAUCUUUAGAAUUCAUGCUGCUUAGCUUUCAAUUUGCCUCUGACCAUCAAAUAAAAUGUGAAUAACCUGUCCCUCUCUCUUUGAAAGUUUGAAAGAAGGGGCGCUUCUGAUUUUGUCGGUGCUUGAAAUAAUUUUGUCUUCUCCAUAUUACUAUAUCUCUAUAGUCAAUAAUUUUAUAUGAGGAAUUACUGAACUCAAUCACUUGCCGCCAUUACUCUUCAAUUUUCUAUUGAGGUCUAUCCUCUAGAGGUACUCAAAUUGGAUCAGUGAUCGAUUUCUAGGUUUCGUCAUAAACCUAU
rnacentral:lncRNA from 1 species